rnacentral:rRNA from 1 species
GAUGAACGCUGGCGGCGUGCCUAAUACAUGCAAGUCGAGCGAACGGACGAGAAGCUUGCUUCUCUGAUGUUAGCGGCGGACGGGUGAGUAACACGUGGAUAACCUACCUAUAAGACUGGGAUAACUUCGGGAAACCGGAGCUAAUACCGGAUAAUAUUUUGAACCGCAUGGUUCAAAAGUGAAAGACGGUCUUGCUGUCACUUAUAGAUGGAUCCGCGCUGCAUUAGCUAGUUGGUAAGGUAACGGCUUACCAAGGCAACGAUGCAUAGCCGACCUGAGAGGGUGAUCGGCCACACUGGAACUGAGACACGGUCCAGACUCCUACGGGAGGCAGCAGUAGGGAAUCUUCCGCAAUGGGCGAAAGCCUGACGGAGCAACGCCGCGUGAGUGAUGAAGGUCUUCGGAUCGUAAAACUCUGUUAUUAGGGAAGAACAUAUGUGUAAGUAACUGUGCACAUCUUGACGGUACCUAAUCAGGAAGCCACGGCUAACUACGUGCCAGCAGCCGCGGUAAUACGUAGGUGGCAAGCGUUAUCCGGAAUUAUUGGGCGUAAAGCGCGCGUAGGCGGUUUUUUAAGUCUGAUGUGAAAGCCCACGGCUCAACCGUGGAGGGUCAUUGGCAACUGGAAAACUUGAGUGCAGAAGAGGAAAGUGGAAUUCCAUGUGUAGCGGUGAAAUGCGCAGAGAUAUGGAGGAACACCAGUGGCGAAGGCGACUUUCUGGUCUGUAACUGACGCUGAUGUGCGAAAGCGUGGGGAUCAAACAGGAUUAGAUACCCUGGUAGUCCACGCCGUAAACGAUGAGUGCUAAGUGUUAGGGGGUUUCCGCCCCUUAGUGCUGCAGCUAACGCAUUAAGCACUCCGCCUGGGGAGUACGACCGCAAGGUUGAAACUCAAAGGAAUUGACGGGGACCCGCACAAGCGGUGGAGCAUGUGGUUUAAUUCGAAGCAACGCGAAGAACCUUACCAAAUCUUGACAUCCUUUGACAACUCUAGAGAUAGAGCCUUCCCCUUCGGGGGACAAAGUGACAGGUGGUGCAUGGUUGUCGUCAGCUCGUGUCGUGAGAUGUUGGGUUAAGUCCCGCAACGAGCGCAACCCUUAAGCUUAGUUGCCAUCAUUAAGUUGGGCACUCUAAGUUGACUGCCGGUGACAAACCGGAGGAAGGUGGGGAUGACGUCAAAUCAUCAUGCCCCUUAUGAUUUGGGCUACACACGUGCUACAAUGGACAAUACAAAGGGCAGCGAAACCGCGAGGUCAAGCAAAUCCCAUAAAGUUGUUCUCAGUUCGGAUUGUAGUCUGCAACUCGACUACAUGAAGCUGGAAUCGCUAGUAAUCGUAGAUCAGCAUGCUACGGUGAAUACGUUCCCGGGUCU